UAAGCAUAUCAAUAAGCGGAGGAAAAGAAAAUAACAAUGAUUUCCCUAGUAACGGCGAGUGAAGAGGAAAGAGCUCAAAGUUGGAACCUGUUUGGCUUAGCUAAACCGGGAUUUGUAAACUGGUAGAGACGUUUUCCUGACACGCCAGACAAAUAAGUCCUUUGGAACAGGGCAUCAUAGAGGGUGAGAAUCCCGUCUUUGGUAUGAGCUGUUGUCUUUUGUGAUACGUUUUCAAAGAGUCAGGUUGUUUGGGAAUGCAGCCUAAAUUGGGUGGUAAAUCUCACCUAAAGCUAAAUAUUUGCGAGAGACCGAUAGCGAACAAGUACCGUGAGGGAAAGAUGAAAAGAACUUUGAAAAGAGAGUUAAACAGUAUGUGAAAUUGUUAAAAGGGAACCGUUUGGAGCCAGACUGGCUUGAUCGUAAUCAAUCUAGGUUUCGACCUGGAUGCACUUGCGGUCUAUGCCUGCCAACGACAGUUCUUUCUGAAGGAUAAAACUAAGAGGAAUGUGGCCCCUCGGGGUGUUAUAGCCUUUUAGAUAAUACUUUGGAUGGGACUGAGGAACGCAGUGAAUGCUUAUGGCGAGAUUGCUAGGCGCUUUUGUUGAUAUAUGUCAGAAUUUCUGCUUCGGGUGGUGCUGAUGUCUAAAGAUGAAACCCGUUUGGUUAAUUUCUAUUCACUUA
rnacentral:rRNA from 1 species